GGAUAAACUACUUCUGUUGUGAUACUGACAUUCCCUGUUUGGUUACCUCAUAUUUUUCUGUACUGAUUUGUAUUCUGAAGACUAAAAACACACAGCUAUUUUGAAUGAUUACAUUUACUUUUAAAUACUGUAAAAUGCAAACUUUACAAUGUUCUUGAGUUUGUUGCCUACUUGUGCCACGAUCCGUUUCGUACGACACUUCAGCACAAUAACUUGAGCCAGGGCAGGUUGUCUUGACAUAAGCGCUCAAGUUCCUGGUCUCGUACCAUGAAGGGCAUACCAGCUUUGGUUGUUCAGGAGAAUACUCUCUGCAUUCAUAACAGAUAUUUAUGACGCAGAUCGUUUCCGCAUUUGGACCUAUUUCACACAUUCCAGAGAGCAGUAUAAUGUUACAGCACUGACUUUAGCCUCUAGCUAUAUUUUUGCUGAAGCGGAUGCGUAAACCAUUGGAAGAGUUACAUAUGAAAAGGUAUGAAGGAAUCGGGAUUGUGUUAGUCGCAUCUUACACCUCUGUGUCAGCCGACUCCAUCACGCACGUGCUAAUUUUUUUAGAAUUUCGUCGUAAAUUUUUUACUUUGUUAUCAUGUAUCUGUAAGCUGUUCCUCGAUACAUUUAAUUUGUUUGCGCUUUCUGCCCCGUGAGUUGCAAUAAUUGUUGGAAAUUGGUUUGGUUGCAAUGUAGAUCAUGGAACUUUUGCUCUGUCGGGUUGCGCGGACAGCUUAUGUAUACCACAGUAAAUGUUUCCCUGUCGAUUCUACAGUUUGAGCAUCAGUUCUCCCUCGGCACAAGUUCGAUCUUGC